rnacentral:rRNA from 1 species
AGCGAACGCUGGCGGCAGGCCUAACACAUGCAAGUCGAACGAACCCUUCGGGGUUAGUGGCGGACGGGUGAGUAACACGUGGGAACGUGCCUUUAGGUUCGGAAUAACUCAGGGAAACUUGUGCUAAUACCGAAUGUGCCCUUCGGGGGAAAGAUUUAUCGCCUUUAGAGCAGCCCGCGUCUGAUUAGCUAGUUGGUUAGGUAAAGGCUCACCAAGGCUACGAUCAGUAGCUGGUAUGAGGGGAUGACCAGCCACAUUGGGACUGAGACACGGCCCAAACUCCUACGGGAGGCAGCAGUGGGGAAUCUUGCGCAAUGGGCGAAAGCCUGACGCAGCCAUGCCGCGUGGAUGAUGAAGGUCUUAGGAUUGUAAAAUCCUUUCACCGGUGAAGAUAAUGACUGUAGCCGGAGAAGAAGCCCCGGCUAACUUCGUGCCAGCCGCCGCCGUAAAAC